CCGGAUAGGACAGCGGAAUGAUAGCCGGGCUGAAGACCUUGCUUGACCAGCUGAGAGGAGGUGCAUGGCCGUCGUCAGUUCGUACUGUGAAGCAUCCUGUUUAGUCAGGCAACGAGCGAGACCCACGCCAACAGUUGCUAGCAUGUUCUCCGGAAUGAUGAGGACACUGUUGGGACCGCCUCUGCUAAAGAGGAGGAAGGAAUGGGCAACGGUAGGUCAGCAUGCCCCGAAUUAUCCGGGCUACACGCGGGCUACAAUGGUCAGGACAAUGGGAAACGGCACUGAAAAGUGUAGUCAAUCUCCUAAACCUGUCCCAAGUUCGGAUUGUGGGCUGCAACUCGCCCACAUGAAGCUGGAAUCCGUAGUAAUCGCGUUUCAAAAUAGCGCGGUGAAUAAGUCCCUGCUCCUUGCACACACCGCCCGUCAAACCAUCUUAGUGAGGUUUGGAUGAGGCUGUGGUUAACUGCCACAGUCGAAUCUAGGUUUCGCAAGGAGGGUUAAGUCGUAACAAGGUAGCCGA
rnacentral:rRNA from 1 species